rnacentral:rRNA from 1 species
UACAGAGGUCUCAAGCGUUGUUCGGAUUCACUGGGCGUAAAGGGUGCGUAGGUGGCAUGGCAAGUUUGAUGUGAAAGCUCAGGGCUCAACCCUGAAAUGGCAUUGAAUACUGCUGUGCUGGAGGUUUGGAGGGGGGACUGGAAUUCUCGGUGUAGCAGUGAAAUGCGUAGAUAUCGAGAGGAACACCAGUGGCGAAGGCGACUACCUGGCCUGUUCUUGACGCUGAGGCGCGAAAGCUAGGGGAGCAAACGGG